ensembl:lncRNA
GGCUAAUUGGCUUGACGUUUGCUAAGUUUUCAUUAGUACUGUACUUACCUCUCUCUGAAACUGACCACCUGGUGAGAUUUUCAUUUUUUUUUUCCUGUCUCUCCAGCACUGAGCAACCAGUUAACCAUAUACUAGCCACCACAAUGCAUAGAAAGACGUCUAUAUCAGAUUAAAUAGAUCCAUGAAGUUAUGAUUCAGGUUCUAUUGAUAUCUGGUGAUACAGAUCUGUCAGGUUCUAUUGAUAUCUUAUAAGUCAACCUAUAGAAGCAGCUUGUAAGUUUGACUUAAGUUCUAUAGGCCUCAAACCCCCCAAGACAUGUGGUGAUAUUUUUCUUUCUCACCCUGUUUUGGGAGGAGGUGAGCUUUUGUCUUCCCUGACAAAAUCACAGUUGCUGCCAAGGGAAACACAGCUGAGGAGCAGGAGUGACCCAGCCUUCCCUUUGCUUCCUUUCUUCUUCCCUCCCUGCUGCACAGCUCCCUUGCUCCAGAAGCGCGAUGCUGCCUCACCUGAGGAUUCAGAGCUGCCUCCAGGCCCUUGCAGGAGAAGUGCAGGUGCUCAGGAGAUUGAGGCUUCCCCAGCACCUGCCAAGAAAGUCUGUGCCACCUCUGCACUUGUUGGGGCUUCACCAGUGGAACCAUCAAGAGAGCUCAUCCAGAGAUUUAAUCUCUGCAAGCUCACGGUUCCACUGGUUCGCCUGGACCUGAAACGCCAUCCUGAGCUCAUGGUUCGCCUCGCUCCAGUCGACCCUGAAGCUGCUUGCAGGGCCCUUGGACAGAGCAACAGCUGCUCAUCUUCUCAGCAGCACAGCCCAGCCUGCCACCCAUCAGCUCCUUGGUGCCAGAAGCGCAGUGCUGCCUCACCUGAGGAUUCAGAGCUGCCUCCAGGCCCUUCCAGGACAAGUCCAGAUCCUCAAGGGCGUGAAGCUUCCCCAGCACGUGCCAAGAAAGUGUUUGCUACAUCUGGACUUGGGGUUUCAUCAGGCCAGCCAGGCACACACAGAUUCCAAUCCCAGCCAGAGCUCAUGACUCCACCAUUUCCUGCGCACCAUCAAAGCACUUCUGCGGCCUCUCCAGAGAGCAGCAGCUGCACUUCUCCAGAGCAGCACUUGCCAGCCAACAUCCCAUCAGCCGCCCCGGGCACUUCAGUCCCCAGUGCUCCAGCUGGCAGUGCUGGUUAUGCAGCAUGGAGAGCCCCAAGCUGGGUCUGGAGUACUCCUGGGGAAGAGGAAUUGCCACCGCUGGAUCUGGACCUUGUUCUGGAGACACUGGAGGAGAUGCUUUCACCAUCUGUGCCUGAAAGGUCUCCCUCUGCUCAGGUCAAUCCUAGUGUUGCCCGUGGCUCUUCAGGAGGGGAGGCUGUGAACAAGGCUGCAGCAGAGGGAGCUUUGCCUGUUUGCGGGAGCCGUGUGAACGUUUGCCAGGAGCCCGAGGAGCUUGGUAAGGAGUGAGCCCAGCGUGGUUUAGAGAGAUGGGAGACAGCUGCUCUGAGCCUGCCUCUGACAGGAAGGGAGAUCAGAAGAGUUGAGUUCUUGUCUGCAGCAGGGUUGGUGCUUCCUGGUGCUUUUAGUUCAAAUCCUGCACUGGCACAAGCUCCCCGAGCCCUGCCCCUCCAUGCUUUUCCAGAGGCUCUGACACCGAGUCCUCUGCUGUGGCAAGAGAGCCGGCAAGAAACCUGAGCUGGUGGCAGUUGUGUCACCAAGCUGCGUGUCCCAAUUGGUUCCCAGCUCACAGCAGC